GUGAGGAAUAUUGGACAAUGGGCGCAAGCCUGAUCCAGCCAUGCCGCGUGCAGGAAGACGCAUCUAUGGUGUGUAAACUGCUUUUGUACGGGAAGAAACACUCCCUCGUGAGGGAGCUUGACGGUACCGUAAGAAUAAGGAUCGACUAACUCCGUGCCAGCAGCCGCGGUAAUACGGAGGAUCCAAGCGUUAUCCGGAAUCAUUGGGUUUAAAGGGUCCGUAGGCGGUUUAAUAAGUCAGUGGUGAAAGCCCAUCGCUCAACGAUGGAACGGCCAUUGAUACUGUUAGACUUGAAUUACAAGGAAGUAACUAGAAUAUGUAGUGUAGCGGUGAAAUGCUUAGAUAUUACAUGGAAUACCAAUUGCGAAGGCAGGUUACUACUUGUGGAUUGACGCUGAUGGACGAAAGCGUGGGGAGCGAACAGGAUUAGAAACCCGGGUAGUCC
rnacentral:rRNA from 1 species